CGCGUAGGUAACCUGCCUGGUAGCGGGGGAUAACUAUUGGAAACGAUAGCUAAUACCGCAUAAGAACAUUUACUGCAUGGUAGAUGUUUAAAAGGUGCAAGUGCAUCACUACCAGAUGGACCUGCGUUGUAUUAGCUAGUAGGUGAGGUAACGGCUCACCUAGGCGACGAUACAUAGCCGACCUGAGAGGGUGAUCGGCCACACUGGGACUGAGACACGGCCCAG
rnacentral:rRNA from 1 species